UACAGCUAUAUCACGUCCAAACACCAGUUUCCGUACGAUCACCGAAGUUAAGCAACGUCGAGCCUGGUCAGUACCUAGAUGGGUAACCGCCGCUUGGGAAUACAAGGUGUAGUAAG